AGAGUUUGAUUCUGGCUCAGAACGAACGCUGGCGGCGUGGAUAAGACAUGCAAGUCGAACGAGAGAAUUGCUAGCUUGCUAAUAAUUCUCUAGUGGCGCACGGGUGAGUAACACGUGAGUAACCUGCCCCCGAGAGCGGGAUAGCCCUGGGAAACUGGGAUUAAUACCGCAUAGUAUCGAAAGAUUAAAGCAGCAAUGCGCUUGGGGAUGGGCUCGCGGCCUAUUAGUUAGUUGGUGAGGUAACGGCUCACCAAGGCGAUGACGGGUAGCCGGUCUGAGAGGAUGUCCGGCCACACUGGAACUGAGACACGGUCCAGACACCUACGGGUGGCAGCAGUCGAGAAUCAUUCACAAUGGGGGAAACCCUGAUGGUGUGACGCCGCGUGGGGGAAUGAAGGUCUUCGGAUUGUAAACCCCUGUCAUGUGGGAGCAAAUUAAAAAGAUAGUACCACAAGAGGAAGAGACGGCUAACUCUGUGCCAGCAGCCGCGGUAAUACAGAGGUCUCAAGCGUUGUUCGGAAUCACUGGGCGUAAAGCGUGCGUAGGCUGUUUCGUAAGUCGUGUGUGAAAGGCGCGGGCUCAACCCGCGGACGGCACAUGAUACUGCGAGACUAGAGUAAUGGAGGGGGAACCGGAAUUCUCGGUGUAGCAGUGAAAUGCGUAGAUAUCGAGAGGAACACUCGUGGCGAAGGCGGGUUCCUGGACAUUAACUGACGCUGAGGCACGAAGGCCAGGGGAGCGAAAGGGAUUAGAUACCCCUGUAGUCCUGGCAGUAAACGGUGCACGCUUGGUGUGCGGGGAAUCGACCCCCUGCGUGCCGGAGCUAACGCGUUAAGCGUGCCGCCUGGGGAGUACGGUCGCAAGAUUAAAACUCAAAGAAAUUGACGGGGACCCGCACAAGCGGUGGAGUAUGUGGUUUAAUU
rnacentral:rRNA from 1 species